rnacentral:rRNA from 1 species
AUUGAACGCUGGCGGCAGGCCUAACACAUGCAAGUCGAGCGGCAGCGGGAAAGUAGCUUGCUACUUUUGCCGGCGAGCGGCGGACGGGUGAGUAAUGCCUGGGAAAUUGCCCAGUCGAGGGGGAUAACAGUUGGAAACGACUGCUAAUACCGCAUACGCCCUACGGGGGAAAGCAGGGGACCUUCGGGCCUUGCGCGAUUGGAUAUGCCCAGGUGGGAUUAGCUAGUUGGUGAGGGAAUGGCUCACCAAGGCGACGAUCCCUAGCGGGUCUGAGAGGAUAAUCAGCCACACUGGAACUGAGACACGGUCCAGACUCCUACGGGAGGCAGCAGUGGGGAAUAUUGCACAAUGGGGGAAACCCUGAUGCAGCCAUGCCGCGUGUGUGAAGAAGGCCUUCGGGUUGUAAAGCACUCUCAGCGAGGAGGAAAGGUCAGUAGCUAAUAUCUGCUGGCUGUGACGUUACUCGCAGAAGAAGCACCGGCUAACUCCGUGCCAGCCGCCGCCGUAAUAC